AUUUGGGCUUGAAUAGGGACUGGGAGUGGCUGGCUCAUUACAAAAGCAGCUUUGCCUCUCCUGGAAUUGCACUUCCUCAUCUGUUAUUGGGAGUGGACUACAUCUACCCUGAUCGAACUGGCCAUGUCAACACUGGUUCUCCACUUAUGAGGUAACUCCACCUUGUGGAGGCAGA